GACUGUGUGCACCAUAGAGACUGUGUACACCAUAAAGACUGUCUACAUCAUAGAGACUGUGUGCACCAUAGAGACUGUCUGCAUCAUAGAGACUGUCUACAUCAUAGAGACUGUGUGCACCAUAGAGACUGUGUACACCAUAAAGACUGUCUCCAUCAUAGAGACUGUGUGCACCAUAGAGACUGUCUGCAUCAUAGAGACUGUGCAUCAUAGAGACUGUACAUCAAAGAGACUGUGUACAUCAUAUAGGCUGCUCCGGAAUACUUCAGCUUGAUUCCCUAAACAGAUGUUAGCAAGGCUUGUCCUGAGUAGUGGGCAAAAUGAAGAACUCGAAAUUGCUUUUGCAAUGAAUGACAGGUAUUUGUUCCCUGGAAGGGGUUCUAUUUCUUGACUGACCACUUAAAUUGUAAACUGAUGACAUGUGAAUUAUUGACGAUUUGUACCUUGAAGAUAAUUGAAUCUAUAAAUAUCUAAAUUGUGUGUAUUGGGAAAUGUUAACAAAAGUUAAAAGUAUCAUUUCUAAAAUAAAGUUGUAAAGACCAAUUCUAGGCAUCAGUUUAAUGUACUAACUUUGAGAUUCUAGGAUUAAAUGUGAUUUUUUUAAUGUUUAUAAUGAAGACAGGAAGGGAGUAUGCCUAACUUUGAAACUUAACAUUCAUAUUAUCUUGGUAAAUUUUUAUAAAUAUUUUCACAGAACUUAGCAUAUUAGAUUGGAGAAUAACUUUUCAAGUUGCUAGAUAUGUUUUAAAUUUUUAAAAUGAAAUUUAUUUUCAGAAUAUUUAGAAACAGUGACCCAUGAAUUUUCUAAGGUUUACUUGAAAUUGUUUGACUGUCAGGUUUGGUUAAGGCACAAUACAUAGCAUAGGAUCCACUGUCUUCUACAGAUCUGCUCUUUCUGGUUCUUAGGCUGCACCAGAUUCUAAAGUGUCUCACUUUGCUAGUAUCUUUCAUUGGAAACUACUGGAUUAUCAUCUCAAAAAUAAGUAAAAAUAAAGUACAGCAAUCAUUCAUUUGUAAACAUCUGAAAAUGUAGAUGCUUACCAUUUGGCUAUGAAGGACUGCCAAGUUCACCAAGGCAGUAGCAACACUGGGGUGCUUUGGGCCAAAGGAUUUCUGCCGAAUUUCAACAGCUAAUUCAUACAAAGCUCUCCCUUCUGGCUGCGAGACUCUGUUCCUGUUCCCCAUUCGUGCAGAGGACUGUGGUCUAGGACGAUGAUCUGAAGACCAGGAAAUGCCGCCUGAACAUAAUGCAUGGGAUAAAGGGCCCCAAAGAAAAGCCUACUGCUUCCAUGCCUUAGAAACACCCGCCCCCUCCAUGACGUCAACGCAUUUGAUGUUCAAAAUGAGAACGUGGAAUUAAAAGACAAGAAUGCUAGAUUCAGUGUCUGUAAACAAGGCUGGGCUAGAAUGAUUUCUAUUAUGACAAAUAUUAAAAAAUAGUCCUUUUACAUCUCUGGCUGAGGACUAUGCAGAGUGAGGCUGAAUAGAAGAAACCAAAGCCCAGCCAUCCAGUGCUCAUGAAAAGUGGAUUACUGCCUGGUACGGAAAACAGCUAUUUAUGGCUAGGCUUUAGAACAGACAGUGGAAGACCCCUCCUGAUAACUCCGUCCUCAACACUGAGCCAUAGUCUCCCGAAUGAGUGUGAGUGUGAGUGUCACAUCAGGAAACAGGGAGACAUCCGAGGCCAGUGAAGCUAGUUUGAGCAGCCAUCACUUUGCAGAGAAAGUGAACUGCAGCAAAAUGAACAAGAUGAACCCCAGCAGAACCAAGGGAAACACCCACUUACCACGCCAUCAUUUUGCCGAAAAGGGUGACGUAGAGGGCAUUGCAGGUCGCGGCGGAACGGCAAUGUUGGUCUAGCUGCUUCUCCUACACCAGUUUCCAAAUAAAACAAAACGGAAGUAAGAAAAGCAGGCGGGGUCAUUGCUCCUGGGCCAGCCGCAGGUCCCAGUAGAAGGAAACUGUCUCUGUUCUAACCCUGAUGUCACAGGUGUAACGGAGGGAGCCUGGCUGCAGCCACACUUCCAGCUGCU